UGAGUAAUACUUAGGAAUCUGCCUAUUAAUGGGGGACAACAUCUCGAAAGGGAUGCUAAUACCGCAUACGCCCUACGGGGGAAAGCAGGGGAUCACUUGUGACCUUGCGUUAAUAGAUGAGCCUAAGUCGGAUUAGCUAGUUGGUGGGGUAAAGGCCUACCAAGGCGACGAUCUGUAGCGGGUCUGAGAGGAUGAUCCGCCACACUGGGACUGAGACACGGCCCAGACUCCUACGGGAGGCAGCAGUGGGGAAUAUUGGACAAUGGGGGGAACCCUGAUCCAGCCAUGCCGCGUGUGUGAAGAAGGCCUUAUGGUUGUAAAGCACUUUAAGCGAGGAGGAGGCUCCUGUAGUUAAUACCUACAGUGAGUGGACGUUACUCGCAGAAUAAGCACCGGCUAACUCUGUGCCAGCAGCCGCGGUAAUACAGAGGGUGCGAGCGUUAAUCGGAUUUACUGGGCGUAAAGCGUGCGUAGGCGGCUUUUUAAGUCGGAUGUGAAAUCCCCGAGCUUAACUUGGGAAUUGCAUUCGAUACUGGGAAGCUAGAGUAUGGGAGAGGAUGGUAGAAUUCCAGGUGUAGCG
rnacentral:rRNA from 1 species